AGGUUGCAAAGUUGCAUUACAUGUUUGAAUGCUUGACGCCUUGACAGUCGCACACUCAUCAUCGUCUUUCUCAGGAAAAUUAGAUUUGUGUUGACCUGUUGAUUGCCCAUUACCGCAUUGUUCACAAGUAGAACGGUAAUAGUACUGAGACCAUCAUCAUCAUAAUCUUCCAUUGGAGCAGGAAGGUUGAGAUCUAUUAAAGCACCUCCCGUUCUUGAUAGCCCUUGUUUCUCAAGAUUCAUGGAGGUAGAAGUGGAAGCAGCUUCUGUGCUAACAAUUGCUGACACAGAAUCUGCAAAAUGUGAUUUUUGUGUCCACCCAAGGCUUGCCCUGAAGAAAACACUCUAUAACAGAUGCGACAUGGCGAUGGCUAUGAACAUGAGUAAUCACUGCUAAUUCCUUACCGGUUUAGAAGAAGAAAGUCGUGGAGACCCAUGCGAGCAUUGGGAAGGCUAUUUGGAGGUUCCAACGGGAGUUGGUCUUCGCAUCAGAAGCUAGAAGGUCUUCGCAUCCGUCUUCCCGGUUGCUUCUUGCAGCGUAGCGCUCCGCCAUAGCAACGGCAACCUAUUCAUAUUGAAUCCCUAGUUGGUUGUUCAGAGAGGAACCCAACUGCUAAGAUCUAAUCAAAAGCAAUCACUUUCCAGCACCUUUCAUCAAUU